AACUAGUACAGUAAAGUACUCUGCAAUUUCAGGGGAAUUAAUCAAUUUCUUUAGAACUUCAACUGCAAUAAGAGGAUUGUUUUCCACCAGUUCAGGAAGCUUUCGGGGUGUCAGUCCACAAUGAUAUACAAGCUUUGGGUCAUUUGCCAACUCCACCACCACUUGCUCUUGUUGCGCAGGUAUAAGAGGUCCCUUCAGAGCUUUUGCAAUUAAGUCCCUCACAGCUGCG
rnacentral:misc_RNA from 1 species